GAUGAACGCUGGCGGCGUGCCUAAUACAUGCAAGUCGAGCGAACAGAUGAGGAGCUUGCUCCUCUGACGUUAGCGGCGGACGGGUGAGUAACACGUGGAUAACCUACCUAUAAGACUGGGAUAACUUCGGGAAACCGGAGCUAAUACCGGAUAAUAUAUUGAACCGCAUGGUUCAAUAGUGAAAGACGGUUUUGCUGUCACUUAUAGAUGGAUCCGCGCCGCAUUAGCUAGUUGGUAAGGUAACGGCUUACCAAGGCAACGAUGCGUAGCCGACCUGAGAGGGGGAUCGGCCACACUGGAACUGAGACACGGUCCAGACUCCUACGGGAGGCAGCAGUAGGGAAUCUUCCGCAAUGGGCGAAAGCAUGACGGAGCAACGCGGCGUGAGUGAUGAAGGUCUUCGGAUCGUAAAACUCUGUUAUUAGGGAAGAACAAAUGUGUAAGUAACUAUGCACGUCUUGACGGUACCUAAUCAGAAAGCCACGGCUAACUACGUG
rnacentral:rRNA from 1 species